GUGUCAGCAGCCGCGGUAAUACGUAGGGAGCAAGCGUUGUCCGGAUUCACUGGGUGUAAAGGGUGCGUAGGCGGGACAAUAAGUCAGUGGUGAAAUCUUACGGCUCAACCGUGAAACUGCCAUUGAUACUGUUGUUCUUGAGUUCGGGAGAGGUUGAUGGAAUUCCAGGUGUAGCGGUGAAAUGCGUAGAUAUCUGGAAGAACACCAGUGGCGAAGGCGGUCAACUGGCCCGAAACUGACGCUGAGGCACGAAAGCGUGGGUAGCGAACAGGAUUAGAUACCCGCGUAGUCC
rnacentral:rRNA from 1 species